rnacentral:rRNA from 1 species
AAAACUUUCAAUAACAGAUCUCUUAAUUCUAACAUCGAUAAAGAACGUAGCGAAAUACAAUAAGUAAUAUAAAUUAUAGAAUUUAAUAAAUUAUCGAAUUUUUAAACGUACAUUACACUCACUAAUAUUCUAAUAAAUAUACCUAUUCGAACGUUAUUUUAAUUAUUAAACUCUAUUUAUAUUAGGGAUUUACAAUUAUCUACAAUCCUUUAAAAUUAAUAGCGGAUUCGUUAGUUAUACUAAGCAUAAUAAUUCUAUAUCGCUAUAGUCGUACAGCGGGUUCUUACUAUAAAACCCCCUAUUUCUAAAAUUAACCUCGGAUUAAAUAGGAAUACCCACUAAAUUUAAACAUAUUAAUAAGUAGAGGAAAAGAAACUAAUAGGGAUUACCCUAAUAAUAGCGAGUAAAGUAGUAAUAAUUUAAAUUUAAAAUCUAACUUCGGCUUGAAUUAUAAUUUAUAGAGGAAGCUUUUAGUAAAGCACCUUCUAAAUUCCUUAGAAUAAAGUACUAUAGAAGGUAAGAGCCCUAUAUAGUCGGAUGCCGAUUUAAUAUAAAGCUCCUUCAACGAAUUAAGUAGUUUAAGAAUAUUAUUUAAAAUAGGAGGUAAAUUUCUUCUAAAAUUAAAUACCGGUUAGAAACUAAUAGCAUAUAAGUAGAAUAAUCGAAAGAUGAAAAGUACUUUGAAAAAAGGGUUAAAUAGUAUAUAAAAUUAUUAAAAGGGAAGCGUUUAUAAUUAAAUUUACACUAUUCCAAUUAUUUAAUAUUUUUACUAAUAUAUUUAAGACGGCUUAAACUAAUAUUAAUUUUAAUAGGGGGAUAAAGGUCCGGGGAAUAUAGUUCCUCCGGGAGUAUUAUAACCCCGGGCGUAAUGCCUUCGCCGGGACCGAAAUUCGCGUAUUUAUAAAGAUACUAAUAUAAUAGUUAUUAACGACCCGUCUUAAAAUAUAGACUAAAGAAUUAAAGUUUUAUACGAAUAUUUAGGUAUAAAACCUAUAUACGUAAUAAAAGUAAAUAUAAGUAAAAGCUUCAGUAUAUUAUUAACUAAUUUUAAUAUAUUUAGAUGGAUUUGAAUAAGAAUAUUAAACUUUAAAUUUAAAAAAUAGUAAAUUAUAUUUGGAUAGGGUGAAGUUAGAGGAAACUUUAGUAGAGGUUCGUAGCGGUUCUAACGUAUAAAUCGAUUAUUAAAUUUAAGUAUAGGGGCGAAAAAUUAAUCGAAUUAUUUAGUAGUUAGUUACCGCCGAAGUUUCCCUUAGGAUAGUAAUAUUAUUCUUUAGUUUUAUAAAGUAAAGCGAAUAAUUAGGGAUUCGGGGGCACUUUUUAACCUUUAUCCAUUUUUAAACUUUAAAUAUAUAAGAAACCUUUAUUAUUUAAUUAAAUAUAGGUAUUCGAAUAUAUUAAUAUUAGUAGGCUAUUUUUAGUAAGUAGAAUUAAUAAUACAGAAUAAACUAAAUAUAGGGUUAAAGUACCGGAGUAGACGCUUAUUAAAUACUAUAAAAGGCGUUAAUAUAUUUUAAUAGUAGGACGGUAAUUAUAAAAAUUAGAAUUUACUAAGGAUUAUAUAAUAACUUACUUACCGAAUAUAUUAGCUUUGAAAAUAAAUAGUACUUAAGCGUCCUACUUAUACCCCGCCCUUAGGGUAGAAACGAUACUUUAAGGAAUAAGUAGCCGUAGAGGUUAGUAAUGAAGCUUAGGGCGUAAGCCUAGGUUGAACGGCCUCUAAUAUAGAUUUUAAUAAUAGUAAUAAAUAUUUUAAUAAGAAUUUGAAGGAUCGAAGUAGGGAAAGGUUCUAUAUAAAUAGUAGUUAGAUAUAAGUUAAUUAAUUUUAAAUUAUAAGGAAGUUCCGUUUUAAAGGGGCAUUUGUACUUUAUAUAGCGAAAGGGAAGCCGGUUAAUAUUCUAGUACUUAAAUAUAAAUUUUAUACGGUAAUACAAUUAAAUACGGAGAUAAUAGUGGGGGCCCCGGGUAGAAUUCUCUUUUCUUCUUAAUAAUCUAUUACUUUAAAAAUAGUUUAUUUGGAGAUAGGGUUUAAUAGUUGGAAGAGCCCGAUAUUUUUAUUAAAUCCGGUACACUUUUAAUAUCCCUUAAAAAUCUAUAGGAGGGAAUAAUUCUUAUACUAAGUUGUACUUAUAAUUAUAGUAGGUCUCUAAAGUGAAUAGCCUCUAGUUAAUAGAAUAAUAUAAAUAAGGGAAAUUAGUAAAAUAGAUCUAUAAUUUCGGGAAAAGGAUUAACUCUAAGGGUUAAGUACGUUAGGCUUUAAGUAAACGCCCUAAAAAUAGAUUACUACUAAUUAGGCAACCGGCUAGCGGCUUUCAAUAUCCGGGUAUAAAAGCCUUUAAUAAACUUCGGUCGUCUAAUAUAUAUUUAAUAAUUAAUUUAGAAUUGGUAUAGAUAGGGGGAAUUUAAUUAUUUAAUUAAAAUAUAGUAUUACGAUAGUUAGAAAGUAGUAUUAAUAUAAUAUAAUUUUUAUUUAGUAUUCUAAAUAUUAAAGUAAAGAAAUUUAAUUAAGUGCGGGUAAACGGCGGGAGUAACUAUAAUUCUCUUAAGGUAGUUAAAUGCUUCGUUAUUUAAUUAGUAAUAUAUAUAAAUAGAUUAAUAAAAUUCCUACUAUUCUUAUUUAUUAUUUAGCGAAAUUAUAGUUAAAGGAACGGGCUUGGUAGAAUUAGCGGAGAAAGAAGACCCUAUUAAAUUUAAUUCUAGUUUAAUAUUGUAAAAAAAUAUAAGAGGUGUAGAAUAGGUAGGAACUUCGGUGUUGGUAAAAUACUACUACUCUUAUUAUUUUUUUAUUUAUUUAAUUAAAUAAGGUUAGAUUUUCGUCCAACUUUUAGUUUUAAAGUCCUUUGCGGGCCAAUCCGGGUUGAAGAUAUUAUUAGGUAGGGAAUUUGGCUAAGGCGGUAUAUUUAUUAAAUUAUAAUAUAAGUAUCCUAAAGGGGGCUUAUAGAGAAUAGAAAUCUCUAGUAGAAUAAAAGGGUAAAAGUCCCUUUAAUUUUAAUUUUUAGUAUAAAUACAAAUUAUAAAAGUAUAGCCUAUUAAUCUUUUAGUCCCUCGAAAUUUGAGGUUAGAAGUACCAAAAAAGUUACUAUAGGGAUAAUUAGCUUGUAGCGGCUAAGCGUUUAUAAUAAUAUUGCUUUUUAAUCCUUCAAUAUCGGCUCUUCUUAUUAUAUUGAAAUAGAAUUCGGUAAGUAUUGGAUUGUUCACCUACUAAUAGGGAAUAUAAGUUAGGUUUAGAUUAUUAUAAAAUAAAUUAGUUUUACCCUAUUAAUAACUUUAUUAUAAUAAUAAUUGAGUUUAGUAUAAAAGGAACUACUUAUUUAAAUAAUUAGUUUUUGUAGUUAUUCGACCGGGUAGUACUGUAACGCUACUAUUUACUAGAUAAUAGCUAAACGUUUUUAAAUUAAAAUCUAUAUUAGAAUACGAUAAUACUUCUAAUAUAUUAUAGAUAUAUAAGAAUAAGCUCCGGCCUCGUAUUUUAAUAAGCGAUUCCUCUAUUGGCUUUGAAGUAGCUAAUAGUAAUUUGCGUAUUGUAAUUUUA